rnacentral:rRNA from 1 species
UACGUAGGGGGCGAGCGUUGUCCGGAUUUAUUGGGCGUAAAGAGCGUGUAGGCGGCCAGGUAGGUCUGCUGUGAAAACUCGAGGCUCAACCUCGAGACGUCGGCGGAAACCAUCUGGCUAGAGUCCGGAAGAGGAGAGUGGAAUUCCUGGUGUAGCGGUGAAAUGUGCAGAUAUCAGGAAGAACACCCGUGGCGAAGGCGGCUCUCUGGGACGGUACUGACGCUGAGACGCGAAAGCGUGGGGAGCGAACAGG